GCGGCCCCAGGUCAGGCGUGAGUACCCGCUGAGUUUAA
rnacentral:rRNA from 2 species